CCUUCUUCUUCCCCCUGGCCUUGGAAAAACCAGUUUCUCUCUCUUUCAUUGUCUGUUACCAACUUCUAUUCUAAAACGUCAACGGAACCCCAACCAUAUUCCAAACUCUCUUUUCCAGCUACCUUUUAGUCCCCUCUACUCCAACUCACUUUCCUCUGCUCUCACAUGCCUUCUUACUAAAGGGAGAAUGGCUUUGGGGACACCCCCCCCCCAUCUCCCCUCAGGAGCCAUUUCUGUUCUGCACGGGUCUGCCACACUGGACACUUUAUACAGUAAGUAGUUCUCCUUUCUCAUUUCCUGUCCUCGAACCUUAGGAGUGGAAGAACAUUCCAAGACUUGGAAUUCCUUUUCUUUCUCUCGUGGGCGUGAGCCUGUAGCCUCCCCUUUGUCUGAGUUUUCUUAUCAAAAAUCUAUUGAUUGUUUCGAAUCAAGCUCAUAGUAGGCCCUGCUGUGUUGAAGGUUCCGACAUUCAUACCUACAGGUGCUUUACAGACACAGUCGCCUCCGGAGUAUCCAACCUGCAGGCCGAGGACCCCACGUGAAGGCGAGGCGCUCCCACCAAGGACUUGGGAGAAUCUGGUGGGAGGAUGAGAGUGGGAUUUCAGUGGAGUGAAGUUCAGGAGGCAUGGAGCUGACGCCGCAGCCGCCGCAGCCCCAACAGUGGCAGCCGGGGGGACCUCUGACUUAGAAAACGAAACCCCAGGGAGAGAUGGGAGAGAUGAGGAGACACUGGAGCGAGUGUCUUCUGCAGAGGGGACCGGUGUAGGCGGAUUGGGAACAGCACCACAGAUAGGAACCGCCUUCUAAAUGCAUGCAACGGAAAUGCGUGUUUUCUGUAACUUACAAACAUUAAAAAGU